GGGCGCAUAGCUCAGUUGGUAGAGCAGCUGACUCUUAAUCAGCGGGCCCAAGGUUCGAGUCCUUGUGCG
rnacentral:tRNA from 1 species